AACGAACGCUGGCGGCAGGCUUAACACAUGCAAGUCGAGCGCCCCGCAAGGGGAGCGGCAGACGGGUGAGUACCGCGUGGGAACGUACCUUUUGGUUCGGAACAACUCCGGGAAACUGGAGCUAAUACCGGAUAAGCCCUAACGGGGAAAGAUUUAUCGCCGAAAGAUCGGCCCGCGUCUGAUUAGCUAGUUGGUGAGGUAACGGCUCACCAAGGCGACGAUCAGUAGCUGGUCUGAUAGGAUGAUCAGCCACACUGGGACUGAGACACGGCCCAGACUCCUACGGGAGGAAGAAGUGGGGAAGAGUGGACAAUGGGCGCAAGGCUGAUCCAGCCAUGCCGGGUGAGUGAUGAAGGCCUUAGGGUUGUAAAGCUCUUUUGUCCGGGAAGAUAAUGACUGUACCGGAAGAAUAAGCCCCGGAUAACUUCGUG
rnacentral:rRNA from 1 species